GACGAACGCUGGCGGUGUGCUUAACACAUGCAAGUCGAACGGAAAGGCCCUGCUUUUGUGGGGUGCUCGAGUGGCGAACGGGUGAGUAACACGUGAGUAACCUGCCCUUGACUUUGGGAUAACUUCAGGAAACUGGGGCUAAUACCGGAUAGGAGCUCCUGCUGCAUGGUGGGGGUUGGAAAGUUUCGGCGGUUGGGGAUGGACUCGCGGCUUAUCAGCUUGUUGGUGGGGGAGUGGCUUACCAAGGCUUUGACGGGUAGCCGGCCUGAGAGGGUGACCGGCCACAUUGGGACUGAGAUACGGCCCAGACUCCUACGGGAGGCAGCAGUGGGGAAUAUUGCACAAUGGGCGGAAGCCUGAUGCAGCAACGCCGCGUGCGGGAUGCCGGCCUUCGGGUUGUAAACCGCUUUCGCCUGUGACGAAGCGUGAGUGACGGUAAUGGGUAAAGAAGCACCGGCUAACUACGUG
rnacentral:rRNA from 1 species